rnacentral:rRNA from 1 species
CCUACGGGAGGCAGCAGUAGGGAAUUUUCGGCAAUGGGGGGAACCCUGACCGAGCAACGCCGCGUGAACGAAGAAGUUAUUAGUAAUGUAAAGUUCUUUUAACAGGGAAGAAAGAGAAAUUUGACGGUACCUGAAGAAUAAGCUCCGGCUAACUACGUGCCAGCAGCCGCGGUAAUACGUAGGGAGCGAGCGUUAUCCGGAAUUAUUGGGCGAAAAGGGUGCGUAGAUGGCAUAGUAAGUCUUUUGUAAAAAUGCUGGGCUCAACCCAGUAGGGCAAAAGAUACUGCAAAGCUAGAGUAUGACAGAGGCAAGUGGAACUACAUGUGUAGCGGUAAAAUGCGUAAAUAUAUGUAAGAACACCAGUGGCGAAGGCGGCUUGCUGGGUCGAUACUGACAUUGAGGCACGAAAGCGUGGGGAGCAAACAGGAUUAGAUACCCCAGUAGUC